GGGGACCAUCCUCCAAGGCUAAAUACUCCUGACUGACCGAUAGUGAACCAGUACUGUGAGGGAAAGGCGAAAAGAACCCCGGCGAGGGGAGUGAAAAAGAACCUGAAACCGUGUACGUACAAGCAGUGGGAGCACAGAGCAAUCUGUGUGACUGCGUACCUUUUGUAUAAUGGGUCAGCGACUUAUAUUCUGUAGCAAGGUUAACCGAAUAGGGGAGCCGAAGGGAAACCGAGUCUUAACUGGGCGUUAAGUUGCAGGGUAUAGACCCGAAACCCGGUGAUCUAGCCAUGGGCAGGUUGAAGGUUGGGUAACACUAACUGGAGGACCGAACCGACUAAUGUUGAAAAAUUAGCGGAUGACUUGUGGCUGGGGGUGAAAGGCCAAUCAAACCGGGAGAUAGCUGGUUCUCCCCGAAAGCUAUUUAGGUAGCGCCUCGUGAAUUCAUCUCCGGGGGUAGAGCACUGUUUCGGCAAGGGGGUCAUCCCGACUUACCAACCCGAUGCAAACUGCGAAUACCGGAGAAUGUUAUCACGGGAGACACACGGCGGGUGCUAACGUCCGUCGUGAAGAGGGAAACAACCCAGACCGCCAGCUAAGGUCCCAAAGUCAUGGUUAAGUGGGAAACGAUGUGGGAAGGCCCAGACAGCCAGGAUGUUGGCUUAGAAGCAGCCAUCAUUUAAAGAAAGCGUAAUAGCUCACUGGUCGAGUCGGCCUGCGCGGAAGAUGUAACGGGGCUAAACCAUGCACCGAAGCUGCGGCAGCGACGCUUAUGCGUUGUUGGGUAGGGGAGCGUUCUGUAAGCCUGUGAAGGUGUACUGUGAGGUAUGCUGGAGGUAUCAGAAGUGCGAAUGCUGACAUAAGUAACGAUAAAGCGGGUGAAAAGCCCGCUCGCCGGAAGACCAAGGGUUCCUGUCCAACGUUAAUCGGGGCAGGGUGAGUCGACCCCUAAGGCGAGGCCGAAAGGCGUAGUCGAUGGGAAACAGGUUAAUAUUCCUGUACUUGGUGUUACUGCGAAGGGGGGACGGAGAAGGCUAUGUUGGCCGGGCGACGGUUGUCCCGGUUUAAGCGUGUAGGCUGGUUUUCCAGGCAAAUCCGGAAAAUCAAGGCUGAGGCGUGAUGACGAGGCACUACGGUGCUGAAGCAACAAAUGCCCUGCUUCCAGGAAAAGCCUCUAAGCAUCAGGUAACAUCAAAUCGUACCCCAAACCGACACAGGUGGUCAGGUAGAGAAUACCAAGGCGCUUGAGAGAACUCGGGUGAAGGAACUAGGCAAAAUGGUGCCGUAACUUCGGGAGAAGGCACGCUGAUAUGUAGGUGAAGUCCCUCGCGGAUGGAGCUGAA
rnacentral:rRNA from 1 species